CUUUUCUUUCACAUCUCAUGUUAAUGGAUUAUUCGAUUGUUUAAGCCUAUAAAAAAUUGGCCCACGGGACAGAGAAUGCAAUUUGAUGGACCAAAACACUAAACAUAAAAACAAUUUAUAAAGAAAAACACUAAAGUCAGAUUCUGCAAAGCAACAUCUGAUAAAGGAAAAUGCCUGUUGUACAGGCCCCUCACAUGCUAGGUGAGGGGGGUGGGGGAUGGGUGAUUAUUAAAAAAAUAAAAAUAAAAAAAAUUACCCCACCCCCCGUAUUGUGUGUGGCUUGUACAGACAGCAGAACCGUAUGAUAAAAGAAAUAAAAUAGGCGGACCUACUUGGGUAAAUUAGGAUCGUCCAUCUUAUCUCCACCAUUGUUUCCAACUUUAUCUCCUUGAUGCUUCACUACUUGAAGCUUAUCAUUCCACUUUUCCUUCCAUUCCUACAUUCCUUCCUUCCAGACAAUGGUAUCAUGCCCAUACACAGCCAAAUCUUUGAACUGCCAUAUUAGUACUUACCUUUUAUCCAAUCCUAGAAAAUUAAUUAGGAACUCCUCUAGUAAAUCUCAAAGAAAUUACUAGUCAUUGAGGAAUAAGAAAAUGGUAUAGGAUGGAUUUGCUUUCCCCAACCCAUGAAUGGUGGAAUAAGGAGAGCAUGCUUGUCAAUUGAGAUCCUUCAUCAAAAAAUUUAACACGAAAAACAAUGUUAACUUAACCUAAAUAAAUAUAAUCGAUGAGUCCUCCAUCAAAAUUUUAACGCAAAAAAUAACAAUAAUGUGUUCAAAACAAGAUAAAAAACAGUUAACCCUCAAUCUACCAUAAGUAAAGAGAGGAAUUUCAGUGUUGAUGACUGUCGUUCUCUCAUUGCCAUUGUAAUCAAAACAUUGUGGUCACAAGUAAAAAAUCAUGUGACCCAAAGUCUCACCUUAGUAGGAAAAAAACUCCCAAAAAUUUUUAUUUCUACCAGUUAGUUACAAUGUUUUAUAUAGUGAAAAUAAAUUCCAAAAAAAAAAAAAUUUAAAUGGAAAAAAUCAAGAUAAUGAUUAAAAUUGAGAGUCCUAAUCUUAAGAAUUAUCUUCCAACAAACGGAAUUCAAAUUCGACUUAAAUUAGUCGAGAUAUAACCGAACAAAAUUUACCAAAAAGGAAAGGACGCAUAAACCAAGAAAUUUGCCCAAAAUUGGUCCUAAGUCAACUACAAAGCUGUUGAGUUAAGUUCAUUGACACGUUUCUAAUCAAAUUUGACUAAAAUUUCACCAAAAACUGACAAUCCUAAAAUAUCUCCAAAAAUCAGAAAGUUAUGAAAAAAGGCAGGAGAAGAAAUGAGAGCUGCAAGUUUUAGGAUUAAGGUGUAGAGGAAGUCUUAGGAAGGGGGAAAAAUUGGAGAUGUGUGGAGACUACGUAGCACGCUUGAAGACAGUGCUGCACGGAGCUACCGUGACGUCUCCCCGCAACGCAGGGUUACUACGUCUCCGCUUUGCACAGAGACCUCAUCUUUGGUGGCUGUAGUUCAUCUUUGGUGGUGAAGGUGGUUUGGGUGCCGAUUCCUCAUCUUUGGUGGCUGUUACUCUCCUAACAGGUGGUGAACUUGGACUGCGUGCUGAUGCCACAUCCUACAAAACAUGGUCCAAACAAAUUUGCAGAAUACGAUUGAAAUAAUUCAUGCGGAAUUAUGCGAGGAAAUGUAUUAUUAUACAUGUGAUGAUCAAAAUAGGGAAACCUUUAUACAAUUUCCCAUAUAAUCACAAAAGGAUAAUAAAAGAGUCAUCUGCUUAGCCAAUUUGCAAUGCCCAUUCUACAUUAUAAAACCAAGAAAACAACGAUUAUUUCCCUCAAUAAAGGUAAAUCUAGUAGAGGGUGAUAGAGAACAAACCCAGAAGAGCAAAUGAAGAAAGGCAGUGUAGAAAGGCACAGAAACGACAAAAGAUAGCCCAGAAAAUAACGAAUCCAAAUAUCUAUGCUCGUAUCUCUGCAGGACCCAACAAAGUUAAAUCAAGAUCAUUCCAAAAACCCCAUAAAAAUCCAAUCUUUCAAUACAUAUUCUUCAGAUUAACAAAGCCCUCAAAUACAAACCUGGAUCUUAAGAGCAAUGGAAGUACCAGACAUUACAUAGUGAGAGACCCAUGGCUAUGUAAGUGAUCUGAGUUUCUGGCUCACAUUGAGAAUUGAAGAAAACACAAUCCAUAUUUCGCCUAGAAAAAUUACUUGCCAGCUCGGUAUGCUUUCCAUUCCAAAUUCUUGUUCUUUAUUAAUUUUCUUUUAUUUUCCCUCUCUGUUUCUCUAAUCUUGUGUCUCUAAGAAAGACGGACGUUGAAAGUAAUCGUGUAAUUUACAUAGGAGUGACCGAUGAAACCAGAACAAUAAUAUGUGUAAUUUUGCCUUCUCCGCAAUUCGCGGAGUACUACCCCAAGCAUCCACUUUCCCCACCACAUAUAUGCACUUCUCUCUCACCCAUAUUCAAAUCCAACUAAAUUAAAUUAUUCAAAUUUCGUUUCAUUUUAGACGACAAAAAAAAAAAAAAAAGAAAAAGAAAGUGAUAAACUUACAUAAAACCAACUGAUUAAGCCCGUCCAAUGUACAAUUUAAGCUUGCAACUCGAAUUCAAGAUUUCAAUUUUUGAUUUUGUAAAGAGAAGAAAGAAGGAAAGAGAAAGAAGAUGAAGGAGAAGAUCAGUGCAGGAAUGGUAGAUUUAGUUAAAAAAAAAAUUGGAGAAA
rnacentral:lncRNA from 1 species